rnacentral:rRNA from 1 species
GACGAACGCUGGCGGCGUGCUUAACACAUGCAAGUCGAGCGGUAAGGCCCCUUCGGGGUACGACGAGCGGCGAACGGGUGAGUAACACGUGGGUGACCUGCCCUCAGCUCUGGGAGUAAGCCUGGGAAACUGGGUCUAAUACCGGAUAUGACUCCAUGACGCAUGUCGUGGGGUGGAAAGCCUUGUGCGGCUGGGGAUGGGCCCGCGGCCUAUCAGC